CUACGGGGGGCUCCAGGCGCGAAACCUUUACAAUGCACGCAAGUGUGAUAAGGGGAUCCUAAGUGCUUAUACAUUGUAUAGGCUUUUGUUAAGAGUAAAUAUCUUAGCGAAUAAGUGGUGGGUAAGACUGGUGCCAGCCGCCGCGGUAACACCAGCGCCACAAGUGGCAACCACGUUUAUUGGGCCUAAAGCGUCCGUAGCCGGUUUGGUAAAUCUCUUGUGAAAUCGACAGGCUCAACCUGUCGGCGUGCUUGAGACACUGCUAAACUCGAGACCGGGAGGAGUCAGAGGUAUUCCAGGGGGAGCGGUAAAAUGUGAUAAUCCUUGGAGGACCAUCUAUGGCGAAGGCAUCUGACCAGAACGGAUCUGACGGUGAGGGACGAAGGCUAGGGGAGCGAUCCGGAUUAGAUACCCUCGUAGUC
rnacentral:rRNA from 1 species